CUACGGGUUGCACCAGUGGGGAAUUUUGCGCAAUGGGGGAAACCCUGACGCAGCAAUACCGCGUGAGUGAAGAAGGCCUUUGGGUCGUAAAGCUCUUUUCUUGGGGAAGAUAGUGACGGUACCCAAGGAAUAAGCACCGGCUAACUCCGUGCCAGCAGCCGCGGUAAUACGGAGGGUGCAAGCGUUGUUCGGAUUUACUGGGCGUAAAGGGCACGUAGGCGGCACAGCAAGUUAAGGGUGAAAUCCCGGGGCUCAACUCCGGAACUGCUCUUAAAACUGCCGAGCUAGAGAUAGUCAGAGGCGGGUGGAAUUCCAGGUGUAGAGGUGAAAUUCGUAGAUAUCUGGAGGAACACCGGUGGCGAAGGCGGCCCGCUGGGGCUAUUCUGACGCUAAGGUGCGAAAGCGUGGGGAGCAAACGGGAUUAGAUACCCUAGUAGUC
rnacentral:rRNA from 1 species